rnacentral:rRNA from 1 species
UGGGGAAUAUUGGACAAUGGGGGCAACCCUGAUCCAGCCAUGCCGCGUGUGUGAAGAAGGCCUUUUGGUUGUAAAGCACUUUAGGCAGGGAGGAGAGGCUAAUGGUUAAUACCCAUUAGAUUAGACGUUACCUGCAGAAUAAGCACCGGCUAACUCUGUGCCAGCAGCCGCGGUAAUACAGAGGGUGCGAGCGUUAAUCGGAAUUACUGGGCGUAAAGCGAGUGUAGGUGGCUCAUUAAGUCACAUGUGAAAUCCCCGGGCUUAACCGGGGAACUGCAUGUGAUAAUUGUGGUGCUAGAAUAUGUGAGAGGGAAGUAGAAUUCCAGGUGUAGCGGUGAAAUGCGUAGAGAUCUGGAGGAAUACCGAUGGCGAAGGCAGCUUCCUGGCAUAAUAUUGACACUGAGAUUCGAAAGCGUGGGUAGCAAACAGG